CACGGUAAACGAUGGAUGCCCGCUGUUUGCGAUAUACUGUGAGCGGCCAAGAGAAAUCGUUAAGCAUCCCACCUGGGGAGUACGCCGGCAACGGUGAAACUCAAAGGAAUUGACGGGGGCCCGCACAAGCGGAGGAACAUGUGGUUUAAUUCGAUGAUACGCGAGGAACCUUACCCGGGCUUGAACUGCAGCAGAACGAUUCAGAGAUGAUGAGGCCCUUCGGGGCUGCUGUGGAGGUGCUGCAUGGUUGUCGUCAGCUCGUGCCGUGAGGUGUCGGCUUAAGUGCCAUAACGAGCGCAACCCCUCUCCGUAGUUGCCAUCGGGUUAUGCCGGGCACUCUGCGGACACUGCCACCGCAAGGUGCGAGGAAGGUGGGGACGACGUCAAAUCAGCACGGCCCUUACGUCCGGGGCUACACACGUGUUACAAUGGGGCGCACAGAGCGCCGGCCGUGCGCAAGCCCGGCCCAAUCGCAAAACCGCCCCUCAGUUCGGACUGGGGUCUGCAACCCGACC
rnacentral:rRNA from 1 species